rnacentral:rRNA from 1 species
AUACAUGCAAGUCGAGCGGACAGAUGGGAGCUUGCUCCCUGAUGUUAGCGGCGGACGGGUGAGUAACACGUGGGUAACCUGCCUGUAAGACUGGGAUAACUCCGGGAAACCGGGGCUAAUACCGGAUGGUUGUUUGAACCGCAUGGUUCAAACAUAAAAGGUGGCUUCGGCUACCACUUACAGAUGGACCCGCGGCGCAUUAGCUAGUUGGUGAGGUAACGGCUCACCAAGGCAACGAUGCGUAGCCGACCUGAGAGGGUGAUCGGCCACACUGGGACUGAGACACGGCCCAGACUCCUACGGGAGGCAGCAGUAGGGAAUCUUCCGCAAUGGACGAAAGUCUGACGGAGCAACGCCGCGUGAGUGAUGAAGGUUUUCGGAUCGUAAAGCUCUGUUGUUAGGGAAGAACAAGUACCGUUCGAAUAGGGCGGUACCUUGACGGUACCUAACCAGAAAGCCCCGGCUAACUACGUGCCACCAGCCGCGGUAAUACGUAGGUGGCAAGCGUUGUCCGGAAUUAUUGGGCGUAAAGGGCUCGCAGGCGGUUUCUUAAGUCUGAGGUGAAAGCCCCCGGCUCAACCGGGAAGGCUCAUUGGAAACUGGGGAA